UACGGGGGGAGCAAGCGUUGUUCGGAUUUACUGGCGUAAAGGGCGCGUAGGCGGCGCAACAAGUCACUUGUGAAAUCUCCGGGCUUAACUCGGAACGGUCAAGUGAUACUGUUGUGCUAGAGUGCGGAAGGGGGCAACUGGAAUUCUCGGUGUAGCGGUGAAAUGCGUAGAUAUCGAGAGGAACACCUGCGGCGAAGGCGGGUUGCUGGGCCGACACUGACGCUG
rnacentral:rRNA from 1 species